UUACGACCAUAUCACGUCGAAACACCAAUUUCAAUACGAUCACAGAAGUUAAGCAACGCCGAGCCUGAUUAGUACCUAGAUGGGUAACCGUUUAGGAAAACCAGGUU